GGAGCGGUUACCGAAGUUUGCAGAACAGCGCAUGGUUCGGUCGGAAUUUUUGUUGAAUUGUCUGCACCUGUCCGGAGGAAUGUCCCCAGCGCUGCAUCUCCUGUGGGUUCUGCUGGUCCAUUUACCAGAUAUCCACGCGGCCCCAGUGCUCAAUCAGAACCCAAUGUCCGGACCUGUUUCCGCGGGACAAACCGUCCGCUUAGAGUGUCGGAUACAGAACGGUAGCGAUUCCCGAGUACCGUCAGUUCUCCUGCUCCCUCCUUCUCCAGAGGAGACCCGCUCGGAUUCGGCCACUCUCUCCUGUCUGGUGAGUGGUUUUAAGCCGGGCUUGGUAGCGCUGCGCUGGAACGUGGAUGGGGUGGAAACAGACAGUGGCGUGACGACAGGCGCCGUGUCCCUGGACACCGACCAGACCUACAGACUGAGCAGUUACCUGCGGGUUCCCACCGCUGCCUGGAACAAGGGCUCGAGCUAUUCCUGCAGCGUGAGUCACAGCUCGCUGAGCUCGCCGCUGCGCAGCACCAUCUCUUCAUCCGCCUGUGCUCAGUGAGAGUGUGCCGGCUGUCAGUACACGCGGAUUGUUUGCUCUUGUUUAAUGCAGUGAAGCAAUGUGCAGCAGCUCAUUGCAAUGUAAUUGUGUAGUAAUGUUCGCUUAUGGGAACAGGCAGAAUGUUUAAUGAUUUCAGAGCAGUUGGCGAUAAUAAUCUAUCUUUUGCACGGACAAUUCUGUGUACGACUGUCCCCAGUGUGCUAUAUUUGAACUACCGCUGUGUGCAGAAUCAGGAGCGAUCUCCUGUACUGCGGUUGGAACUUGUGUAACACAACUCUAAAUAAAAGAGGAAACAGCGAUA